ensembl:lncRNA
GGUGUGUUUCCUGAGAAGUGUUCUUGAACAGCGACCACGGUUAAAUGAUGGAGAGACUAUCGUUUGAAAAACACUCUCUUUUAGUUACCAGUUACCAGGCUGGUUGCUCGACGACACUUUGGGGACACGCAGUCCAGGUCAGCAGGAAGGACCAAUGUUUAUCCUACAACCCAGCUUCAGCUUCUGCCGUCGUCAUGGUCAGUGUGCUCUCUGUGUUUAUGAUGCAGUUCCCAUAGCAACACGUCAAAGUAAUGAUGAUCAUAGAUGCUGUUAGCAGAUGUUGCGCAUUCUUAUACUGGACAAAACAAUCAUGUUUAAUGAUUACGUUUAACACCUCAUGGAGGAAACUGUCCCCACGACUGAUGCAUACACAUCAGAUGGAACAAUUGGAGAUCUUUUAGAGCCUAAUCAAUGAGCCGUGCGUCCCAGCCAAUACGAUCAAUGAGCCUGUGCGUGGCGGCCAAUACGAUCAAUGAGCCCGUGCGUGGCACCCAAUACGAUCAAUGAGCCCGUGUGUGGCAGCCAAUACGAUCAAUGAGCCUGUGCGUGGCAGCCAAUAUGAUCAGCACAGGUACUCAAGGCAUUGCCCCGCUGUAAGGGACUGAAAAAGCAUAUCGAGGGGCAGCGGCUAUCUUACUGUCCCAUCGGUUGACAGGCUUGCAAAGUUUGGAGGACAUUGAUUGAUUGAUCAGUCGAUCGAUCGAAAGAUAUUGAUGUAGCUGUAUUCAAACAUCACACAUUUGCAAUUGCUGUAUUUGUACAGGCUUUUGAGAGUUAAAUAUUGAACUGAAUUAGUAGCAGCACAAAAAAGGUACAAUCAGAACAUGUUGCAGAAAUUGAAUAAUGUGUGAAAUAUUUUGUCGUACUAAUUAUGGUAUUUAUUUCAAGAUGUAGAUUUUUUUUACAAACACAAUUUAUCUUUUGAACUUUUGUAUGUUUCUCAACUUCAACUGUGCAUACACAUUUCAUGAUUGACAUUCACACACUUCCUGAAGCAUUCUUUGGAUUGAGUAUGCUUGGGACGUCCAAGAGUACGCUUUAUAUAAAUAAUCCUUUUGAGUUUCACAGAAAAUAGGCCAAACCAGGACAGCUGGAAAAAGAACAUUAUUUUAUAACCUGAAAAUAUAAUAACAAAAAGGAAUAUAUGUGAUUUAAUUUAUCAGAAGUUUGAAUGUAUGUAUUUAUUAAUGCAAAACUGUAUUUAUACCUGUGCUGUGUGUGUAUGGGG